ACAACUGGCCAUUAAAUCAAAAGAUUUAUUACAGAUGUCUUUCGCAUCAGCUGUCAUCGUGGCACUUGCUUCCAUUCUAGCAUUCGUCGAUUUGACGGUUGCCAAACCUGAGCCGCAGCAUAAAGGAAACCACUCCUCCUGGCGGCACUAGCUACCUCUCUGGUAUUGGUCAAUUGCACGAUUGGCGAACCUGAACCAGAAACUACUAUAAAAGUUUAAAAUAAAAGUCUACCAAUGUUACCUAAAAGUAGUUUGUGACCAUUAAAAUAAAUAAAUCUGU